GCCGGGAUAGCUCAGCUGGGAGAGCAACAGACUGAAGCAAUCUGUGUUCUGGAGGUCCCGUGUUCAAUCCACGGUCCUGGCA